rnacentral:rRNA from 1 species
AUUGAACGCUGGCGGCAUGCUUUACACAUGCAAGUCGAACGGUAACAGGGUGCUUGCACCGCUGACGAGUGGCGAACGGGUGAGUAAUGCGUCGGAACGUGCCGAGUAGUGGGGGAUAACGCAUCGAAAGGUGUGUUAAUACCGCAUACGUACUGAGGUAGAAAGUGGGGGACCUUCGGGCCUCACGCUAUUCGAGCGGCCGACGUCUGAUUAGCUAGUUGGUGAGGUAAAGGCUCACCAAGGCGACGAUCAGUAGCGGGUCUGAGAGGAUGAUCCGCCACACUGGGACUGAGACACGGCCCAGACUCCUACGGGAGGCAGCAGUGGGGAAUUUUGGACAAUGGGCGCAAGCCUGAUCCAGCCAUGCCGCGUGUCUGAAGAAGGCCUUCGGGUUGUAAAGGACUUUUGUCCGGGAGCAAAUACCCAGUGCUAAUAACGCUGGGGGCUGAGAGUACCGGAAGAAUAAGCACCGGCCAACUACGUGCCAGCCGCCGCUGUAACAC